rnacentral:rRNA from 1 species
GACGAACGCUGGCGGCGUGCUUAACACAUGCAAGUCGAACGGAAAGGCGCUGCCUUUGUGGGGUGCUCGAGUGGCGAACGGGUGAGUAAGACGUGAGUAACCUGCUCUUGACUUUGGGGUAACUUCAGGAGACUGCGGCUAAUACCGCAGAGGAGCUUCUGAUGCAUGGUGGGGGUUGGAAAGUUUCGGCGGUUGGGGCUGGACGCGCGGCUGAUCAGCUUGUUGGGGGGGGAGUGGCUUACCAAGGCUUUGACGGGUAGCCGGCCUGGGAGGGUGACCGGCCACAUUGGGACUGAGAUACGGCCCAGACUGCUACGGGGGGCAACAGUGGGGAAUAUUGCACAGUGGGCGGAAGCGUGAUGCAGCAACGCCGCGGGCGGGAUGACGGCCUUCGGGUUGUAAACCGCGUUCGCCUGUGACGAAGCGUGAGUGACGGUAAUGGGUAAAGAAGCACCGGCUAACUACGUG